rnacentral:rRNA from 1 species
UACGAAGGGGGCUAGCGUUGUUCGGAAUUACUGGGCGUAAAGCGCACGUAGGCGGAUAUUUAAGUCAGGGGUGAAAUCCCGGGGCUCAACCCCGGAACUGCCUUUGAUACUGGGUAUCUCGAGUCCGAGAGAGGUGAGUGGAAUUCCGAGUGUAGAGGUGAAAUUCGUAGAUAUUCGGAGGAACACCAGUGGCGAAGGCGGCUCACUGGCUCGGUACUGACGCUGAGGCACGAAGGCCAGGGGAGCAAACGGG